AAUGAGGUUUAUUGACUGUCCAGAUAGAAGCACCUUGCCACCUGUACCAAAGAAUUUUCAAGAAAGUCUUUACAACCCCCCAGGAAACCUGUUCAGGAACUCCUGAAGAUGCUUGGAAGAAUUUGUUGCAUUUCUGGCCCCAGAGGCUGUUAUGGAGAACACCAGAUGAAAUGAUUGUAAAGAGCCAGAGAACCUUUGAAAUGAUGUUGCUCAAAGAUUCCCCAGCAUUGUCACAAGCUAAGCAAAUAAGGGUAAGCUCAAAGGAUCCAUGAAAGGUAAACAAGGAAUCUCCUUAAGGCUGGUUUAUAGUUGGUAAUGGAAAAAUCUGGAAGUUCUUUUGUGGUCUCAUAAGUGUUUCUGUGGUCUCAUAGUUUCAGAGCUUUUUGGUACUUCUGGUUGAAAAAUUCACCACAAAAGAAAACAAGACCCAAACAAAACCCACCCACCCCCCUUAAAGUCAGUGCAUUGGGCUGGAACACCUAUGGACUGAAAGCUCUCUUCACAGCAAUGGUACCUCUCCCAUGGCCAUAGGCCUUGAUGGGAGGGAUUAUUUCCAGAGCUGAAAGUUUGUACAUCAUACCUAAGGAAUUUCCUUUAAACUUUACAAUGAGGGUAACUGCAGCAGAGGUGUUAACAUCUUGAUGAAGAUGGAAAUGAAGUUGCUGCUCAUGCAGU